UUCCAGUCAUGAUUGCUGCGUUCUAAAAUCGACCCAAACUCUUCCCUUUUAAUGGUAUGCCAUUCUGUUCUGUUUAAUUUGUGUUUUCGUCCUGAUUAUGCAUGACACGUUUGUAACUAGAUGUCAAUCAAUCAAUCUUCCAAAUACAUGUAUGUAUAGUUACAAGGGAAAAUGUAAAGCCCUUCUGGAGCACCUGAAGUC
rnacentral:lncRNA from 1 species